GGGCUUGUGGUUUAGUGGUAUAAUAUUCCCUUAGCAUUGAACACGGUGUUUGGGAAUGGUCCAGGGUUCGAUUCCCUGCAAGUCCA